AUAAUAGCAUUUGAAGGCAGUUAAAACAUAAAAUAAAACCUAUUAUUUUUUAUUGCUUUUUCAAUGUUGGUAAAAGAACUAGGUUGGUGGCAUAACAAAGUCAUGCAAACAACAAAUAUUCUCCACUUGUGUUCUUUGUCAUUUUGGUUAAUAGUUUUCAAACACUGAUUUAAAAACCUUAGAACAUACACCAUCAUUUAAUUGUUUCCCUUUAUGACCACCCUUUCCUUUGUUGUGUUUACCACCUUCUUUUUUUCAUGGGCCACGUUGUUGUUGCACACCGUAGCCAGAAGCCCACAGACAGAAGCCCCUAAUGCUGGUCGCUCGAGGACCUUAUCUUUGCCAUCUUUGUCUUCACUUGCAAUGAUGUAGUGGUUUUCGGCGUGAAAGCUGGUGAGACAUUACGCAUGGUGACGAUGGGGUGUUUCACUUUGGAAUAGGGUGUGACAACGACAUGGUUUUGAAGGAAGGAGAGGAGGAAGUAAGGUGACGUGGAACAUGAUGCUGAAAAGGUGGAGAGGAAUUUUCAAGAUGGUGGGGGCGCGAGAAAAGGUGAGACUAGUAUGUGGUGGAAAAAUUUAGAAUCAGUUAUAAGUAUUACUUUGGAUUUGGCUUGAUCAUUUCAGAAAUGACAAGGGUUAAAUAUGACAUUUUGAAAUAAUUCCUUCCAAAUCCCAACACUUUCGUAGGUUAAAAAAAAUGGAAUAUAUCUUGUAAUUCUUUGCUCUCUUUUCUUCACAUAUCUGCUGAGUUGAGCAUUAAAGGUCUCAUAAAUUUGUUGUCACCAUUCUUCGUGAACAGAAAAAUCACUUUAUCCGAACGUAGUAUUAAUUAAAAAGAGAGAAAAGUCG
rnacentral:lncRNA from 1 species